rnacentral:rRNA from 1 species
GAUUCAGCGGCGGACGGGUGAGUAAUGCCUAGGAAUCUGCCUGGUAGUGGGGGACAACGUUUCGAAAGGAACGCUAAUACCGCAUACGUCCUACGGGAGAAAGUGGGGGAUCUUCGGACCUCACGCUAUCAGAUGAGCCUAGGUCGGAUUAGCUAGUUGGUGAGGUAAAGGCUCACCAAGGCGACGAUCCGUAACUGGUCUGAGAGGAUGAUCAGUCACACUGGAACUGAGACACGGUCCAGACUCCUACGGGAGGCAGCAGUGGGGAAUAUUGGACAAUGGGCGAAAGCCUGAUCCAGCCAUGCCGCGUGUGUGAAGAAGGUCUUCGGAUUGUAAAGCACUUUAAGUUGGGAGGAAGGGCAGUAAGUUAAUACCUUGCUGUUUUGACGUUACCAACAGAAUAAGCACCGGCUAACUUCGUGCCAGCAGCCGCGGUAAUACGAAGGGUGCAAGCGUUAAUCGGAAUUACUGGGCGUAAAGCGCGCGUAGGUGGUUCGUUAAGUUGGAUGUGAAAGCCCCGGGCUCAACCUGGGAACUGCAUCCAAAACUGGCGAGCUAGAGUAUGGCAGAGGGUGGUGGAAUUUCCUGUG